rnacentral:rRNA from 1 species
GAUGAACGCUGGCGGCGUGCCUAACACAUGCAAGUCGAGCGAAAGGACGCUAAGCUUGCUUCUUUGUUGUUAGCCGCGGACGGGUGAAUAACACGUGUAUACCCCCCCUAUAUUACUGGGAUAUUUUCGAAAAACCGGAGCAUACCCCGUAUAAUCUUUUGCAGCGUAUGGUUCAUAAGAGAAAGACGGUCUUUCUGUCUGUUCUCGCUGGUUCCCGGCUGCUUUAGCUGGUAGGUACGGUCAAGGCCUACCAAGGCAACGAGGCGUAGCCGACCGGAGGGGGGGGUAGCCCACAUGGGAGCGGAGACGCGGACAAGACUCCUACGGGAGGCAGCAGUAGGGAAUCCUCCGCAGUGGGCGAAAGCCUUACAGAGCGACGCCGCGUGAGUGAUGAAGGUCUUCGGAUCGUAAUAAUCUGUUAUUAGGGAAGAACAUAUGUGUAAGUAGCUGUGCACAGCUUGACGGUACCUAAUCAGAAAGCCACGGCUAACUACGUG